UUCGUUGGUGCUGUUGCCUGGGGUCUGCAGAGGAGAGGCUGGGGGUGAAGAAAACUUAUCCUGAAGAAGCCAGAGGAAAAACCCAGGGCAUGGGGGGAUGAAAUGUGUAAGCCCCGUGGCCUUUGCUGUGGCAGAGCAGGAAUCUGACCCCUGAUGGAUCCACGGUCUCAUCCCACUGAGGAUAGAGCUUGAAGGAGCUCUUGCGCUCAGGAGAGCAAACAGCUCUUAGAAUGCAGAGACAGGGACUGCAGGGCACCUAGAGCCCUGUAACGAAGCUUGGCCUCCAGUUCAUGCUACGCUCUUCCAGAAGAGAGCUGAAAUGAAGCCGCAAUGCCCGGUGUAGCUGUCCCACCCGCUCCCCGCCAGACAGUGUGCUCACGCUCAGCUCAGUCCUCUCCCAGUGGUCAGUCCCAUACCGCACAGCCUGUCCAGACAUCAGCGACACCCCUGCUCUCCAGCACGAUGGACCAGGAUACAGCAAAGCAGGGUUUACUUCCCAAACCCCACCGGCACUGAGAUGCAGGCUCUAAUCAGAUUAAGAAUUCGGCAAUUAAAUUAAGACAUAAAUUCCAGUGGUGUUAAAAUAAAUGCAGGUGUUCAACCCACAUUGUCCGGCCCAACGCAGCACCAUCUCGUGUCCCGUGGAAAGCGGCCCCCACUUUGGGAAACACCUCUUGGUACUGUGGAAAACAGAGCUGCGCUCUCAGCACACCAGCAGCCCUCCCGAAAGAAUGGUGUUGCUGAUCAUUUACAUCACGCCCCAGAGGAGGAUGGCUUCCUUCCCACCUGAGGUCGGAUAUGCAGGCAACACUUUGCAGCAAGGUUCGGCUCGUUGAUUGACCGGAGAAGUCCAUUGCUCCUCUCUUACUUCUGGCAAUGGGAAGAGCGUGAAUUUGUUUAGUGGCUGAAGAGCAAACCCUUUCUAGUCUUGCAUUUGGAAGAUGGACGGGGAGUAGUAAACCCAUUUCUUCUCAAGAGCUGCAUUCCCUGUGGAGAACUUACAUUCCUUCCUCAAGCCCUGCAAAACACCAUAAAGCCACAUUAGCUCAAAAGAGGGGAAGGAGGGUUAAUAUUUACAGGAGCAGUUAGGCAUCAAUUACCCUCAGUUUAAUGACAGCAAGCAUGUGUUGAGUACUCGUGUUAUAUACAGGACCACGCUAAUCACUGUACUCGCAUUAUCUCAUCUGUUACAACCAUCAAAACAACCCAACAUGCAGGAAUUUUAUUACCAUCAUUUUACAGAGGAAAGGCCAGAUCAGAGAAGUUUCAGGCAGUUCUCAGCCCAGGGUCUUUGGACUCCAAACCUGAAGCUUUUGGUCAUUGUGUGUUUGCAGACUCUCAGCCUUUGCAAAUCAUCUGUUCCUUCAGACCCUGAACCUGACGCUCUUCUUGAUUUUACAAUACAUUCCCUCAGUUAUUAACCUAAUACAAAUACAGGACUUGAUAGCCAAUUAGGCAAGAGGAAAGCCCCAAGAGUUGAAAAUGAAAGCUACCCCCAAAAGUGAAGAAUUAUAGUACAUUACCUACCGUUUACUACAGGUAGAGCAACUUACAUACGUUUUUCACACCUAACUUAAGACAAGCAUUUCUUACCCAUUUCACAGAUGAAGGAACUGAAGCUUUAGAAAUAAGAGAUUCUUUAGAAAUAAGAGAUUCUGAGCUUCUACAGAACAAGUAGCAUUCUCACCAGGCCAUCUGACUCAAAGGCCCCAUUGUCUCAAAAGAUUGCCAAGGAAAAUCCUCUCAAAUACAUAAAAACUCAACUUCCAGGUGUCACAUGGGCAUUGAAAACCAGCUGUGUCUUCAUCUGACCCGGUGACCUCUGUCCGCCAUGUCCCAGGUCAGCCACACCGGCCUCAGCUCAUCUCAGGCGGCCCCGGGCGGGAGGGGGGAUCUGACUCACGCUCUGGACAGGACCUCUGCAGAGACGCUUCACCCCGACCUAGAGCCCCAUAAAGCCGCACGGGCGUGGCCCUCGAGACUCCAGCUCCGUUGGUCUGGGGUUUGGCCCAAACACUGGUGUUUGUACAAGCAUGUCAGGUUCUGGUGCAUGGCUGUCAUUGACAGUCAGGGACUUUAAUGGAAAGUACAACCAAGAGAAAAUGUUGUGAAAAUACUUUAAAUCGUUCAUUACAAAGAAAUAAAAAGUAAAUGUACUUGGAUAUGCCUGAUAUAUUUCUGGAGAGUUUUUAAUUGUAGGAUUAUAAAACAGUGACCUUAGUGCCUCUAAAGUGUUGUAUAUUUAAUUUCUGGAGCGUUUAAGGACACAAAGAUUACUGCAUUUUAAAUAAACUGGACCCAGGAGACUGAGCACCUCCCUAGUUUAUAUUGUUUAGUUGUUGUAGAACUCAUCUGUUUCUAAGAUUUACAUUUUAAAGCCUCUAAAGAAUUAAAUAUUUGUGUUUGACCGCUCAUGAACACGAUGUUGACUGUGAUAAUCAACAAUUGCUGUCACCAUGACAUUUUGUCUCCCUAAUUAAGAAGUGCUUUUGUUUCCCCCAGAAUAUGCAAUCGAUGCCUGUAUUUUUACUCUAAAUGUUCCAGUAUACGAUUUUAUACCUGGAAUGAAAGAAGUGGUUGGGAAAACAGCAUUAACAAAUUACUUCUCCCAAAUGAACUACGGGAAGUUUGGGAUUACUGGUUAUGCUCUCUUUAAUUAUAUAAUCUGUAUGGAUUUCAUAUUUUCCACAAGGAAGCCAUGAGGUUUGGGAGCAAGUUUUUGCUUGAAUCAUAGCAGCACAGUUCACAACAGUCAAAAGGAGGAAAUGGCCCAAACACUCAGCGACAGAUAGAUGGAUAAGCACCAUGUGGCAGAUCCAUGCAAGGGAAUGUUGGUCAGCCACAAAUCAGUCUGCAACAUAGGUGAACC
ensembl:lncRNA